CUCAGCCUUAGACGGGGUCUUUCUUUUUCAAAAAUCAGAUUCUUCAUUUUUGCUUUUUCUCCUUCUCUCUCUAAACAGAACCUUUCUUCCUAAGCAUAGCUUUGACUUCUCUCUAAAAGAUCUCAACACUGAACCGUUUAAAUUUUAAUCUGAAGGUGCCUACACGUUCGCGGUGUCAAGGACUAUACUUUGAACCGAUCGAUUUCAUCGAUUCGUUCCGGUUCUGUAGGAUCAACGCGGUGUGGAUACGAUCCUAGGGCAUUCUUAACAAGUUACUGUUAAGCUUUCCAGCCUUUCUUCUCACGUAGAGAGGAUUGGACCAUAUGGUGAGGAGUAGCGGGAGAUCUUAGUCUUGGAGGCUUCCAGUAUGCUCCAAGACGCGGAACAGGCUAACCUCAUGAGUGUGGCAGGAUGGAGAACCCAAGUUUCACAAGUCACCAUGGGUGCAUGACCCGCCAUAACUCAACUCUCAUUUCUAAAGUCCGGACGAGUCGAGUCUAGUAUUCAACAUGUUAGGAUGGAUGUUUUAUCUUGUUUGACUUAAAUUAACUCUUCUAUAUUCUAUGUUUGACAUGAUGUAUGCUUUUUAUAUAAUUAGCUCACCCUUGCUUGGUUGUGUUUGUGUUAUGUUGUAUGUGUUUCCUUUUGCGAUAAUCAUCCACUUGGAUGGAAGCAAAUGGCGAGGAGGAUACUUUGGCAAUAGCUCUUGAUGAGGACGGCAGUGCUGCAGCUUAGAUUUGCUAGCUUUUAUUUCCUGAACUCAUCUUAUUUUGAAGAACUUUAGUGCAUUUAAAGUUUUAAAUUCUCUGUAAUUUCCAGGAGAAACUCUAGUACUUUAGUUUUCAAUUCCACACUAUUCUAUGGAUGACUGCAAUUCCCUAAACACCUUAAACUACUAUCUUAACUGCUUUCUAUUAUUAU